rnacentral:rRNA from 1 species
UACGUAGGGUGCGAGCGUUGUCCGGAAUUAUUGGGCGUAAAGAGCUCGUAGGCGGUGUGUCGCGUCGGCCGUGAAAACCUGGGGCUUAACUGCGGGCUUGCGGUCGAUACGGGCGGGCUGGAGUUCGGUAGGGGAGACUGGAAUUCCUGGUGUAGCGGUGAAAUGCGCAGAUAUCAGGAGGAACACCGGUGGCGAAGGCGGGUCUCUGGGCCGAUACUGACGCUGAGGAGCGAAAGCGUGGGGAGCGAACAGG